GUGGGGAAUUUUGGACAAUGGGGGAAACCCUGAUCCAGCAAUGCCGCGUGUGUGAAGAAGGCCUUCGGGUUGUAAAGCACUUUUGUCCGGAAAGAAAACUUCUGCCCUAAUACGGUGGGAGGAUGACGGUACCGGAAGAAUAAGCACCGGCUAACUACGUGCCAGCAGCCGCGGUAAUACGUAGGGUGCGAGCGUUAAUCGGAAUUACUGGGCGUAAAGCGUGCGCAGGCGGUUCGUUAAGACAGAUGUGAAAUCCCCGGGCUUAACCUGGGAACUGCAUUUGUGACUGGCGAGCUAGAGUAUGGCAGAGGGGGGUAGAAUUCCACGUGUAGCAGUGAAAUGCGUAGAGAUGUGGAGGAAUACCGAUGGCGAAGGCAGCCCCCUGGGCCAAUACUGACGCUCAUGCACGAAAGCGUGGGGAGCAAACAGG
rnacentral:rRNA from 1 species